GAUGAACGCUAGCGGCAGGCUUAACACAUGCAAGUCGAGGGGUAUAGUUCUUCGGAAUUAGAGACCGGCGCACGGGUGCGUAACGCGUAUGCAAUCUACCUUUUACAGAGGGAUAGCCCAGAGAAAUUUGGAUUAAUACCUCAUAGUAUUAUAGAAUGGCAUCAUUUUAUAAUUAAAGAUUUAUCGGUAAAAGAUGAGCAUGCGUCCCAUUAGCUUGUUGGUAAGGUAACGGCUUACCAAGGCUACGAUGGGUAGGGGUCCUGAGAGGGAGAUCCCCCACACUGGUACUGAGACACGGACCAGACUCCUACGGGAGGCAGCAGUGAGGAAUAUUGGACAAUGGGCGCAAGCCUGAUCCAGCCAUGCCGCGUGCAGGAUGACGGUCCUAUGGAUUGUAAACUGCUUUUGCACAGGAAGAAACAACGCUACGUGUAGCGUCUUGACGGUACUGUGAGAAUAAGGAUCGGCUAACUCCGUGCCAGCAGCCGCGGUAAUACGGAGGAUCCAAGCGUUAUCCGGAAUCAUUGGGUUUAAAGGGUCCGUAGGCGGUCUUAUAAGUCAGUGGUGAAAUCUCCCCGCUCAACGGGGAAACGGCCAUUGAUACUGUAGGACUUGAAUUAUUAGGAAGUAACUAGAAUAUGUAGUGUAGCGGUGAAAUGCUUAGAGAUUACAUGGAAUACCAAUUGCGAAGGCAGGUUACUACUAAUGGAUUGACGCUGAUGGACGAAAGCGUGGGUAGCGAACAGGAUUAGAUACCCUGGUAGUCCACGCCGUAAACGAUGGAUACUAGCUGUUGGGAGCAAUCUCAGUGGCUAAGCGAAAGUGAUAAGUAUCCCACCUGGGGAGUACGAACGCAAGUUUGAAACUCAAAGGAAUUGACGGGGGCCCGCACAAGCGGUGGAGCAUGUGGUUUAAUUCGAUGAUACGCGAGGAACCUUACCAAGGCUUAAAUGUAGAUUGACCGGUU
rnacentral:rRNA from 1 species